ACGGAAUAGAUACCCAGGUAGUCCCAGCCGUAAACGAUGCUCGCUAGGUGUCAGGCAUGGCGCGACCGUGUCUGGUGCCGCAGGGAAGCCGUGAAGCGAGCCACCUAGGAAGUACGGCCGCAAGGCUGAAACUUAAAGGAAUUGGCGGGGGAGCACAACAACGGGUGGAGCCUGCGGUUUAAUUGGACUCAACGCCGGACAACUCACCGGGGGCGACAGCAAUAUGUAGGCCAAGCUGAAGACUUUGCCUGAAUCGCUGAGAGGAGGUGCAUGGCCGUCGCCAGUUCGUACUGUGAAGCAUCCUGUUAAGUCAGGCAACGAGCGAGACCCGUGCCCACUGUUACCAGCAUGUCCUUUGGGAUGAUGGGUACUCUGUGGGGACCGCCGGUGUCAAAUCGGAGGAAGGUGCGGGUCACGGUAGGUCAGUAUGCCCCGAAUCUCCCGGGCUACACGCGGGCUACAAUGAAUGGGACAAUGGGUCCUUCCCUG
rnacentral:rRNA from 1 species